UCGAAACCUGCAUGGCAGAACGACCCGACAACACGUUCCGACGCUCGGGGGCGGGGGGUCUCGCGGCUCCUCGCCCCCACCUCCCGGGAGGCGGACGUCUCGCGCGUCGCUCCGGCCGUUCCGCUUGGCCGACCCUUCCGGGCGUACCGAACACCGGCGUGAAUUGCGCCAAGGAACUUGAAUGAAAGAGCGUUCCCCCGCCGUCCCGGAGACGGAGACCGCGCGGGCGUUCGUCCGUCUUCAGUAUGUCUAAACGACUCUCGGCAACGGAUAUCUCGGCUCUCGCAUCGAUGAAGAACGUAGCGAAAUGCGAUACUUGGUGUGAAUUGCAGAAUCCCGUGAACCAUCGAGUCUUUGAACGCAAGUUGCGCCCGAAGCCGUUACGCGAGGGCACGUCUGCCUGGGCGUCACACGUCGUUGCCCCCCUGACCCCUUCGGGGUCGGACGGGACGGAUGAUGGCCUUCCCGUGUGCCCCGUCACGCGGUUGGCAUAAAUACCGAGUCCUCGGCGACCGGCGGUCCGGCGAUCGGUGGUUGUCAAACCUCGGUGCCUUGUCGCGUGCGUGAGUCGAUCGCGGGACUUCCUUAGCCGUAAGCGCGUCGGUAACCCGACGUUUCAA
rnacentral:precursor_RNA from 1 species